GCCGCUGUAGCUCAGCUGGAAGAGCACCGCACUUGUAAUGCGGCUGUCGGGAGUUCGAAUCUCCCCAGCGGCU
rnacentral:tRNA from 1 species